AUUUUUAGCUGAAAAGACGUAAAGGCAGUCAGCCCAGUGGUGUUUCUGGAGAGGGAUUCCUUCAGAAAUGGAGAAGACAGAAAGCUGUGGAGGCAGAUAUUUGCAGCAUGUUCGAGUGAGCAUGAUGACCACAAGUGUGUGUCGAACUUUUCAUGACCUGAUGACUGUGUUUCCCAAUCCUGAUCCUGGAGAACCCCAGCACUGCACGGUUUUGGCGUCUCUCUUAUCUGCCUUGGAGUCUUCACUGAUGAGCUGAUGAGUUGAAUCAGGUGUGUUUGAUCAGGGAGACAUCUCAAAUGUGCAGUGUUGGGGUUCUCCAGGACCAGGAUUGGGAGCCACUGCCUUAUGGGACACUUUUGUGUUUAAAGAGAUUUUUAAUAUCUAAUUAUCAAUAUUUCACAUACUGUACUAAACACAUCACAGUCUUAAUAAUCCAGUUUAACACUUGUAUGAUAUUGUACAAGCCCCAGGACGGUCUCAUCUGACACUAUCAAAAGAAUUCAUAUGACUAUAGCUUGUUAUUAAUUACUUGCUUUCAAUAAUGGAUUCAUUUAACAUUUAAUUUUACAGCAUCUUUACAGAGGUGUAAUGUACAAGCUGCACGUAAUUAAUAAUAUGUCCUUCCUUCUGUCUUACAGGAUUUUUUCCAGAUAAUGCUGUUCUUCUUUUUCAGGUCUAAAAUAUCGAGCUCAACAGCUAUUUUAAGAGCCAACCCUCACAAACCUUCCUAAAACCUAAAAGAGCUAUUACUGAGUCUCAGCGAAUCUUGCCAUGAUCAGCUCUUCCCAGAAGAGAAGGAAGACCAAGGAUAUGAUUUGCUCAGGAUGAGGAAUGAAGAUGGCCAUCUUGAGCUCAAACAAACAGAAGUC